GGGAGGCGGAAGUGUGGUGUCCUGGCAAGUGGCUGUUGUCUGUGGGCUGACCGUGGGAGGCUCCCGAGGUGGGGGCCGGGUCGUCAUGGCUGCAGCGGCGGCCGGGGCCGGGAGCGGGCCCUGGGCUGCCCAGGAGAAGCAGUUCCCGCCCGCGCCGCUGAGUUUCUUCAUCUACAACCCGCGCUUCGGGCCACGCGAAGGAGAGGAGGAAAAUAAGAUUUUAUUUUAUCAUCCAAAUGAGGUAGAAAAGAAUGAAAAGAUUAGAAAUGUCGGAUUGUGUGAAGCUAUUGUACAGUUCACAAGGACCUUUAGCCCAUCAAAACCUGCAAAAUCUUUACAUACCCAGAAGAAUAGACAGUUCUUCAAUGAACCAGAAGAACAUUUCUGGAUGGUCAUGGUUGUUCGGAAUCCUAUAAUUGAAAAACAGAGUAAAGAUGGAAAACCAGUUAUUGAAUAUCAAGAGGAGGAGUUGUUGGACAAGGUUUAUAGUUCAGUGCUACAGCAGUGCUACAGCAUGUACAAGCUUUUUAAUGGAACAUUUCUGAAAGCCAUGGAAGACGGAGGCGUCGAGCUUCUGAAAGAAAGAUUAGAGAAAUUCUUCCAUCGGUAUUUGCAAACUCUACAUUUGCAGUCAUGUGCCCUACUUGACAUUUUUGGUGGAAUCAGCUUCUUCCCAUUGGAUAAAAUGACUUAUUUGAAAAUCCAGUCCUUUAUUAAUAGAAUGGAGGAAAGCCUGAAUAUAGUCAAAUACACUGCAUUUCUCUAUAACGAUCAGCUCAUCUGGAGUGGAUUAGAACAAGACGACAUGAGAAUUUUGUACAAAUACCUUACCACCUCCCUUUUUCCAAGGCACAUCGAGCCCGAGUUAGCAGGAAGGGGUUCUCCAGUAGCAGAAAUGCCAGGAAAUCUUCAGCACUAUGGAAGAUUUCUUACCGGACCCUUGAACCUUAAUGAUCCAGAUGCAAAAUGCAGAUUCCCCAAAAUUUUUGUAAAGACAGAUGACGCUUAUGAAGAGCUCCAUUUAAUUGUUUAUAAGGCCAUGAGUGCGGCUGUGUGCUUUAUGAUCGACGCCUCUAUCCAGCCAACACUGGAUUUUUGCCGAAGACUGGACAGCGUCGUUGGGCCCCAGCUCACGGUGCUGGCCUCUGACAUCUGCGAGCAGUUUAACAUCAACAAGAGAAUGUCUGGGUCUGAGAAAGAAUCCCAGUUUAAGUUUAUUUACUUCAACCACAUGAAUCUGGCCGAGAAGAGCACAGUUCACAUGAGGAAAAUGCCCAGUGUGUCACUCACUUCCGUGCACCCGGAUUUAAUGAAGAUUCUCGGUGACAUCAACAGUGACUUCACCAGAGUGGAUGAGGAUGAGGAGAUCAUCGUGAAGGCCAUGAUUACUGGGUUGUUGGAAAGAAGUCGGAUCGGCGGGAGCUCUACGUUAUUUUGAAUCAAAAAAAUGCAAACCUGAUUGAAGUAAAUGAAGAGGUCAAGAAACUUUGUGCAACGCAGUUCAACAACAUCUUCUUCUUGGAUUGACUGAUGACUCACCGAAAGCGUAUUUGAAAAACACCCGGCAAACAUUUGGUCAUAUGCAAGUUACUGGUCAUAUGACGGACCGCAUUCAGGACAAGGGAAAAGCAAUACUUGCUUUGAAGAAUCACAUUUCUACUCGGUCUCCUGAUCUCCUGAAGUUUUUAGAUUUUAAAUAUUUAUGUGGAAUCAAAGGUAGUUGACUAUAUCUCUAUCAUUCCAUUCUUUUGACAUUAUGUGAAUAUUUUACUGGAAAAUAAGAUUAAUAAAUUGUUUUUUU